UGAUCUUGGCUGUUGAGCCAAAUGAAGGCGU
rnacentral:piRNA from 1 species